GCCGGGUGUGGUGGCUCACACCUGUAAUCCUAGCACUUUGGGAGGCUGAGGUGGGUGGAUCACUUGAGGCCAGGAGUUCUAGAGUAGCCUGGCUAACAUGGUGAAACCUCAUCUCUA
ensembl:misc_RNA Metazoa_SRP Metazoan signal recognition particle RNA